rnacentral:rRNA from 1 species
GAAGCAUGACCGUAAGGACAUGUGGACAGUAUGGGAGGGAGAAUGUUGGCAUGAGUAGCGAGAUGUGGGUGGGAAUCCCACAGGCCGUAAACCCAAGGUUUCCAGGGGAAGGUUCGUCCGCCCUGGGUUAGUCGGGACCUAAGCUGAGGCCGAAAGGCGUAGGGGAUGGACAACAGGUUGAUAUUCCUGUACUACCGAUAACCGUUUGAGAGAAGGGAUGACACAGUAGGAUAAGCUAAGCACACUGUUGGUUAUGUGUGCCCAAGCAUUGAGGCAGUCAAAGUAGGCAAA